rnacentral:misc_RNA from 1 species
CCUAGAGUAUGUCGGCUUUGCCUGCCAUCUCUUACCCAUGUCUUUUGAGUACCUUCGUUUCCUCGGCGGGUCCGCCCGCCGACUGGACAAUUUAAACCAUUUGCAGUUGCAAUCAGCGUCUGAAAAAACUUAAUAGUUA